rfam:Blautia sp. CAG:52 genomic scaffold, scf11
ACAGUACAAACUGAGCAGGCGAUGGAGAUCCAUGGGGCCGGGCCCGACAAGGGCAGCAGAUGAGAACGUGACAUCUGUGGGACAGUA